rnacentral:rRNA from 1 species
AACGAACGCUGGCGGCAUUCCUAACACAUGCAAGUCGAACGAGACCUUCGGGUCUAGUGGCGCACGGGUGCGUAACGCGUGGGAACCUGCCCUUAGGUUCGGAAUAACUCCCCGAAAGGGGUGCUAAUACCGGAUAAUGUCUUCGGACCAACGAUUUAUCGCCUUUGGAUGGGCCCGCGUUGGAUUAGCUAGUUGGUAGGGUAAAAGCUUACCAAGGCGACGCUCCAUAGCUGGGCUGAGAGGAUGAUCAGCCACACUGGGAUUGAGACACGGCCCAGACGCCUACGGGAGGCAGCAGGAGAGAAUAUUAGACUAUGGGCGAAAGCCUGAUCCAGCAAUGCCGCGUGAGUGAUGAAGGCCGUAGGGUUGUAAAGCUCUUUUACCCGGGAUGAUAAUGACAGUACCGGGAGAAUAGGCUCCGGCUAACUCCGUG